CCUACGUGAGGCAGCAGUGAGGAAUAUUGGUCAAUGGGCGCGAGCCUGAACCAGCCAAGUAGCGUGAAGGAUGACUGCCCUACGGUUUGUAAACUUCUUUUAUAAAGGGAUAAAGUGAGUCACUUGUGCCUUUUUGUAUGUACUUUAUGAAUAAGAAUCGGCUAACUCCGUGCCAGCAGCCGCGGUAAUACGGAGGAUCCGAGCGUUAUCCGGAUUUAUUGGGUUUAAAGGGAGCGUAGAUGGGUGGUUAAGUCAGUUGUGAAAUUUUGCGGCUCAACCGUAAAAUUGCAAUUGAUACUGGCAGUCUUGAGUACAGUUGAGGUAGGCGGAAUUCGUGGUGUAGCGGUGAAAUGCGUAGAUAUCACGAAGAACUCCGAUUGCGAAGGCAGCUUACUAAACUGCCACUGACAUUGAUGCUCGAAAGUGUGGGUAUCAAACAGGAUUAGAUACCCUUGUAGUC
rnacentral:rRNA from 1 species